CUUUUCUACAUUUAUUUAUCGACGACCAUCGUGUCGUUCGUUUCGUCCGAAAGUGAGUGCAUUGCAAUGAGAGUGUUUCAAAAAGUAAAGAGUCGGAUGUAACAUUUGUGGCCAAAUAUGCGAGGGAUAACCCUAUUAUUUUAAAUAAAGGGAAAACUCCGGCAAUAAAUAAAAAAAAACGACGUCUUAGACACGCUUAAACAACAUUAUGAGAAUAAUUUUGGAAAACCAACAAACUCCAAAAAAUUAUUAAAAAAAAUUAAUAACCUGAAGGCGGUAGUAAAAAAAAACUGAUGCCAACAUAACUGGCAAUAAAAAGAAAAAGCUAAGUGCAGCAGAACAACUCAUGUACACGGCACUACAGGGGGAUCAAGAGGAGUGCAAUCCUGUUCUUUUCAAAAUACCUGGACAUGUUGCAGUCGGAAUCCCUUCUGAUGAACAAAAAGAAAAACAAUCCGAUGAAGUGGCAGGUCCGUCAGUCGCUUCAACUUCAACACUGCCACCACCGUUACCUGCACGUCCAAAGCGACAAAAAAUUGUAGAACAAUACGAAACGGAGGAAACACGUACGUUAAGCACCACGGAACUACAAAGAUUGGUGCUUUUGAAGCAACUGCAUGUUCUAAAUCUCAAAAAGGCAAAACUGGAGAAAGAAUUAAAUAAAGAUCAUGUUCUAAGAGAAGGAGAGAAAACGUAUA